GUAGGUGGCAAGCGUUGUCCGGAACUUAUUGGGCGUAAAGCGCGCGCAGGCGGUUCUUUAAGUCUGAUGUGAAACGCCCACGGCUCAACCGUGGAGGGUCAUUGGAAACUGGAGAACUUGAGUACAGAAGAGGAAAGCGGAAUUCCACGUGUAGCGGUGGAAUGCGUAGAGAUGUGGAGGAACACCAGUGGCGAAGGCGGCUUUCUGGUCUGUAACUGACGCUGAGGCGCGAAAGCGUGGGGAGCAAACAGGAUUAGAUACCCUGGUAGUCCACGCCGUAAACGAUGAGUGCUAAGUGUUAGGGGGGUUUUCCGCCCCCCUUAGUGCUGCAGCUAACGCAUUAAGCACUCCGCCUGGGAGUACGGCCGCAAGGCUG
rnacentral:rRNA from 1 species